rnacentral:rRNA from 1 species
CCUACGGGUGGCAGCAGUGAGGAAUAUUGGUCAAUGGACGAGAGUCUGAACCAGCCAAGUAGCGUGAAGGAUGACUGCCCUAUGGGUUGUAAACUUCUUUUAUAUGGGAAUAAAAUGUUCCACGUGUGGGAUUUUGUAUGUACCAUAUGAAUAAGGAUCGGCUAACUCCGUGCCAGCAGCCGCGGUAAUACGGAGGAUCCGAGCGUUAUCCGGAUUUAUUGGGUUUAAAGGGAGCGUAGGUGGAUUGUUAAGUCAGUUGUGAAAGUUUGCGGCUCAACCGUAAAAUUGCAGUUGAAACUGGCAGUCUUGAGUACAGUAGAGGUGGGCGGAAUUCGUGGUGUAGCGGUGAAAUGCUUAGAUAUCACGAAGAACUCCGAUUGCGAAGGCAGUUCACUGGACUGCAACUGACACUGAGGCUCGAAAGUGUGGGUAUCAAACAGGAUUAGAUACCAUUGUAGUC